rnacentral:tRNA from 1 species
GCCGCCGUAGCUCAGUUGGUAGAGCGGCGCUUUCGUAAAGCGUAGGUCACCGGUUCAAGUCCGGUCGGCGGCUCCA